UCGGGAAUUUUGGGCAAUGGGCGAAAGCCUGACCCAGCAACGCCGCGUGAGGGAUGAAGUAUUUCGGUAUGUAAACCUCGAAAGAAUGGGAAGAAUAAAUGACGGUACCAUUUAUAAGCUCCGGCUAACUACGUGCCAGCAGCCGCGGUAAUACGUAGGGAGCAAGCGUUGUUCGGAUUUACUGGGCGUAAAGGGCGCGUAGGCGGCGCGGUAAGUCACUUGUGAAAUCUCUGAGCUUAACUCAGAACGGCCAAGUGAUACUGCUGUCAUAGAGUGCGGAAGAGGCAACCGGAAUUCUUGGUGUAGCGGUGAAAUGCGUAGAUAUCAAGAGGAACACCUGAGGCGAAGGCGGGUUGCUGGGCCGACACUGACGCUGAUGCGCGAAAGCCAGGGGAGCAAACG
rnacentral:rRNA from 1 species